AUGCAGGAACUGUUACAAUACAACUGAAAAGUGUUCUAUUGUCGUUCCCCCUGCUUAAAGUAAUUGAUGCAUACUAUCUCUGUCUAGCACGAUUCUGUAGUAAGACAGAGACGCUUGGCCUCAAACAU
rnacentral:snoRNA from 1 species